rnacentral:rRNA from 1 species
GGAGGUAGUGACAAUAAAUCUCAAUACGAAGCCUUUGGUUUUGUAAUUGAAUUGAGAACAAUGUACAAUCGUUAUCGAUAAACAAUUGGAGGGCAAGUCUGGUGCCAGCAGCCGCGGUAAUUCCAGCUCCAAUAGCGUAUAUUAACGUUGUUGCAGUUAAAAAGCUCGUAGUUGAAGUUUAGAUAAUUUAUUGAAAGUGUUUGUAUUCGUACAUUCUACUUUUAUGUAAGUUAUCGACAUCCAGGUGGGUAUCAUAAUCUCGCAAGGGGUCGUGGUACUAGACUGGUCAUUUACUGUGAGAAAAUUAGAGUGUUUAAAGCAGACUUUUAUCAAAAUAGUUUGAAUAGAUUAGCAUGGAAUAAUAAGAUUGGCUUUCAUAGUCGAUUUUUUGGUUUGUUUAUGAAAGCAAGAUUAAUAGGGACAGUUGGGGGUAUUCAUAUUCAAUAGCUAGAGGUGAAAUUCUAUGAUUUAUGGAAGAUGAACAAGUGCGAAAGCA